AGCAGUGUAAUGUAGUGGUAAGGAGCUGGGCUCGUAACUGAGAGGUUGUUGGUUCGAUUCCCUGCUGUGG